CCCCCCCCCCCAACACACACACACACCACUAUGAUUUACCAAGAAGGAACCUUAGUAGCAUAGUAUCCCCAUUCAUUGUUGCUUGCCAAAGAGAUUGCUUGACUGAUGUGCAGUUAGUUCCAUACUAACCGAACAACUAAUAUAUACAAUAUGUUUUGCCUGUAUGGAUGUGCUUAAAUGGGUGAAAGCCCUUAUAUUAUGCAGUUUAUUGAAAAUAUGUCACAGUUACAUGGUUUUAUUUAUUUUAUAAUGAACAAUGUACGUUUUGAAGAUAAAUUAGUUCAACUAGGACCUUGUUUUGUGUAGU
rnacentral:lncRNA from 1 species